rnacentral:sRNA from 1 species
UGAAAACGUUUUAAAAUAAAGACGUUCUUGAAUUUCGUUUUUUUGAAAAAGAAUUGCCAAAUUUAAUUUGGAAGGAGAUUAUUCUUCUUCAAGUUAGCGAAAAAUAUUUUUAUAAUAAGGAGGAAGAACAAGA